AUGAGGAUCAGGGCUUGGUUUACUCAGACUCUUCCGUCGUCAGACGGCCUUGCCGUACUUGGCGGCGGCGGCGGGGGUGUCCUGCUGCUGCAUGAGCGCGAGGGCGCGCUCGAACUGCGUCCAGCGCUGCUCCAGGGUGCCGUUGUAGCCGACGGACAUGCGGAUGAGGCCCGGGGAGAUGCCGGCGCGGGCGCGGUCCUCGGGGUCCAUCUCGCUGCUGGUGCUAUUGCCGGAGCAGGACAUGAGGGUGUCGUAGUAGCCGAGGCUGACGGCCAUGAGGCCGAACUGGGUGGUGUUCUGCAGGUGGUACAUGAGGCGGUUGGCCCGCUCCUCGGUGCCCAUGUCGAGGCAGAGCAUGCCGCCGGCGCCGUAGCCCGGGUUGCCCAUGGCGCGCAGCCGGGCGUGGUGCGGGUGGUCGGGGAGGCCCGGGUAGGUGACGCGGAGGCCCUGGCGGCGCAUCCGGGCGGCGAACUCGGCGGCGCGGCGCGAGUGCUCCUGCAUCCGCAGCGGCAGGUGCGGGAGGCGGCCAGCCAGCUCGGACGCCACCUUGGCGUUCAUCGUGGGGCCCAGCAGCAUCAGUGCGCCGUCCUGCAGGUCCAUCAUGGAGUUCACCAGGCUCGCCGGCCCACAGAUCGCACCUGGAAUCGUCAACAUUUUGUUAGCACAGUUAUUACUUCGUGCUACUGCAGGAGAGUGCGCAAGUUUGCGAGAGAGAAGUUGGGUGGGUGCGCUCGUCUUUGGUGGAUCGCGCUAGGCACCAAAAGCGCAACCACAAGAUACUAUCGUCACCGUGGAGCGAUGCCAUGCCAGGACAUUCACGGGUUGCCGGGUUGGCAAUUGUUACGGUGCUGGUGGCAGCGGAAGGAAGCGAAGGAACAGCUCGCUCGCGCAAUGAUGAACCAAAUGGCGCGAAAACGCGCAAGCAGCCAAAAAAGGACGACCCCGUCGCGUCGUCCAUGGACCGUGGAGAGCUAG
rnacentral:rRNA from 1 species